UGGGGAAUCUUCCGCAAUGGACGAAAGUCUGACGGAGCAACGCCGCGUGAGUGAUGAAGGUUUUCGGAUCGUAAAGCUCUGUCUUUAGGGAAGAAUGUGCCUUUUGUGAAUAAUGAGAGGCAAUGACGGUACCUGAGGAGGAAGCCACGGCUAACUACGUGCCAGCAGCCGCGGUAAUACGUAGGUGGCAAGCGUUGUCCGGAAUUAUUGGGCGUAAAGCGCGCGCAGGCGGGAUAACAAGUCUGUCGUUAAAGUGCGGGGCUCAACCCCGUGAUGUCGAUGGAAACUGUUAUUCUUGAGUGCAGGAGAGGAAAGUGGAAUUCCUAGUGUAGCGGUGAAAUGCGUAGAUAUUAGGAGGAACACCAGUGGCGAAGGCGACUUUCUGGACUGUGUCUGACGC
rnacentral:rRNA from 1 species